UACGUAGGGGGCAAGCGUUGUCCGGAAUUAUUGGGCGUAAAGCGCGUGCAGGCGGUUACUUAAGUCUUAUGUAUAAGCCCGGGGCUCAACCUCGGGACGCAUGGGAAACUGGGUGACUUGAGUGCAGAAGAGGAGAGUGGAAUUCCACGUGUAGCGGUGAUAUGCGUAGAUAUGUGGAGGAACACCAGUGGCGAAGGCGGCUCACUGGCCCGGUACUGACGCUGAGGUGCGAAAGCGUGGGGAGCAAACAGG
rnacentral:rRNA from 1 species